rnacentral:rRNA from 1 species
UACGUAGGGGGGCUAGCGUUGUCCGGAUUUAUUGGGCGUAAAGAGCGUGUAGGCGGCCAGGUAGGUCUGGUGUGAAAACUCGAGGCUUAACCUCGAGAUGUCAUCGGAAACCAUCUGGCUAGAGUCCGGAAGAGGAGAGUGGAAUUCCUGGUGUAGCGGUGAAAUGCGCAGAUAUCAGGAAGAACACCAAUGGCGAAAGCAGCUCUCUGGGACGGUACUGACGCUGAGACGCGAAAGCGUGGGGAGGCGAACAGG